rnacentral:rRNA from 1 species
AUUGAACGCUGGCGGCAGGCCUAACACAUGCAAGUCGAACGAGUGGCGGACGGGUGAGUAAUGUCUGGGAAACUGCCUGGUGGGGGGGGAUAACUACUGGAAAGUGUCGCUAAUACCGCAUACUAUCAGAUGUGCCGAGAUGGGAUUAGCUUGUUGGUGGGGUAACGGCGCACCAAGGCGACGAUCCCUAGCUGGUCUGAGAGGAUGACCAGCCACACUGGAACUGAGACACGGUCCAGACUCCUACGGGAGGCAGCAGUGGGGAAUAUUGCACAAUGGGCGAAAGCCUGAUGCAGCCAUGCCGCGUGUAUGAAGAAGGCCUUCGGGUUGUAAAGUACUUUCAGCGGGGAGGCGUUACCCGCAGAAGAAGCACCGGCUAACUCCGUGCCAGCAGCCGCGGUAAUUC